UUAAAAUUGUUGCAGUUAAAAGCUCGUAGUGGAUUUCUGCUGCUCCGCAUUUUCCUUUGNGGGGGUUUUGCGCUGUGGCUUAUUUCGGACUGUGUUUUGCACUGUCCGGAUGUUUACUUUGAGAAAAUUAGAGUGCUCAAAGCAGGCUUUUGCCUUGAAUAGUUUAGCAUGGAAUAAUAAAGUAGGACUUUGGUUCUAUUUUGUUGGUUUUAGGUACCAAAGUAAUGGUUAAUAGGAACAGUUGGGGGCAUUCGUAUUUAACUGUCAGAGGUGAAAUUCUUAGAUUUGUUAAAGACGAACUACUGCGAAAGCAUUUGCCAAGGAUGUUUUCAUUAAUCAAGAACGAAAGUUAGGGGAUCGAAGACGAUCAGAUACCGUCGU
rnacentral:rRNA from 1 species